CACGUAGGGGGCGAGCGUUGUCCGGAUUUAUUGGGCGUAAAGAGCUCGUAGGCGGCUCAGUAAGUCAGGUGUGAAAACUCCAGGCUCAACCUGGAGACGCCACCUGAUACUGCUGUGGCUAGAGUCCGGUAGGGGAGCAUGGAAUUCCUGGUGUAGCGGUUGAAAUGCGCAGAUAUCAGGAGGAACACCAGUGGCGGAAGGCGGUGCUCUGGGCCGGAACUGACGCUGGAGGAGCGAAAGCGUGGGGAGCAAACAGG
rnacentral:rRNA from 1 species